rnacentral:rRNA from 1 species
GUGCCAGCAGCCGCGGUAAUACCGGCAGCACGAGUGAUGGCCGAUAUUAUUGGGCCUAAAGCGUCCGUAGCCGGCCGUGCAAGUCCGUUGGGAAAUCCACGCGCUCAACGCGUGGGCGUCCAGCGGAAACUGUUCGGCUUGGGGCCGGAGGACUCGAGGGGUACGUCCGGGUAGGAGUGAAAUCCCGUAAUCCUGGACGGACCACCGAUGGCGAAAGCACUUCGAGAAAACGGAUCCGACAGUGAGGGACGAAAGCCAGGGUCUCCAACCGGAUUAGAAACCCCGGUAGUCC